rnacentral:rRNA from 1 species
GAUGAACGCUGGCGGCGUGCCUAAUACAUGCAAGUCGAGCGAACGGACGAGAAGCUUGCUUCUCUGAUGUUAGCGGCGGACGGGUGAGUAACACGUGGAUAACCUACCUAUAAGACUGGGAUAACUUCGGGAAACCGGAGCUAAUACCGGAUAAUAUUUUGAACCGCAUGGUUCAAAAGUGAAAGACGGUCUUGCUGUCACUUAUAGAUGGAUCCGCGCUGCAUUAGCUAGUUGGUAAGGUAACGGCUUACCAAGGCAACGAUGCAUAGCCGACCUGAGGGGGUGAUCGGCCACACUGGAACUGAGACACGGUCCAGACUCCUACGGGAGGCAGCAGUAGGGAAUCUUCCGCAAUGGGCGAAAGCCUGACGGAGCAACGCCGCGUGAGUGAUGAAGGUCUUCGGAUCGUAAAACUCUGUUAUUAGGGAAGAACAUAUGUGUAAGUAACUGUGCACAUCUUGACGGUACCUAAUCAGAAAGCCACGGCUAACUACGUGCCAGCAGCCGCGGUAAUACGUAGGUGGCAAGCGUUAUCCGGAAUUAUUGGGCGUAAAGCGCGCGUANGCGGUUUUUUAAGUCUGAUGUGAAGCCCACGGCUCACCCGUGGAGGGUCAUUGGAAACUGGAAAACUUGAGUGCAGAAGAGGAAAGUGGAAUUCCAUGUGUAGCGGUGAAAUGCGCAGAGAUAUGGAGGAACACCAGUGGCGAAGGCGACUUUCUGGUCUGUAACUGACGCUGAUGUGCGAAAGCGUGGGGAUCAAACAGGAUUAGAUACCCUGGUAGUCCACGCCGUAAACGAUGAGUGCUAAGUGUUAGGGGGUUUCCGCCCCUUAGUGCUGCAGCUAACGCAUUAAGCACUCCGCCUGGGGAGUACGACCGCAAGGUUGAAACUCAAAGGAAUUGACGGGGACCCGCACAAGCGGUGGAGCAUGUGGUUUAAUUCGAAGCAACGCGAAGAACCUUACCAAAUCUUGACAUCCUUUGACAACUCUAGAGAUAGAGCCUUCCCCUUCGGGGGACAAAGUGACAGGUGGUGCAUGGUUGUCGUCAGCUCGUGUCGUGAGAUGUUGGGUUAAGUCCCGCAACGAGCGCAACCCUUAAGCUUAGUUGCCAUCAUUAAGUUGGGCACUCUAAGUUGACUGCCGGUGACAAACCGGAGGAAGGUGGGGAUGACGUCAAAUCAUCAUGCCCCUUAUGAUUUGGGCUACACACGUGCUACAAUGGACAAUACAAAGGGCAGCGAAACCGCGAGGUCAAGCAAAUCCCAUAAAGUUGUUCUCAGUUCGGAUUGUAGUCUGCAACUCGACUACAUGAAGCUGGAAUCGCUAGUAAUCGUAGAUCAGCAUGCUACGGUGAAUACGUUCCCGGGUCU